AGAGAGUUAUGACUGGAGGGUAGGGAGGUGGAUGUGAAGGCUAGUUAAGUGUCAGUGCUGUUGGAAGUUUAGGGUGCUGCGGAAGUAGGUACUGGGGUUCAGAAUGCUACUGAGGAUAUGGCAAUGGGUAUUGAAGGGCCAGUGAGCUGCUGGAGAUGGGUUCUGGGAUAGUUGGGAGCUGUUAUAGGCAUUGGUGGCUUCUGGGAUGCAUGGGGUGGUGGAUGGUAUUGCUAGACAAUAGGGUCUACUCUACAGGACACAUCUAUUCUCCACAAGGGACUGGUUGAUAAUACACCCUAUGAAGUUAAUGGAAUGGGAACUCUUCCAGAAGGCCCAAAGGGAAGAUAUGACACAUUCAACAGACUUCGGGACUUGAUGAAGUGAGAGUGAAGACUGUUAGAACACCAGUGACCGAAGUCAUGGGCUGAAACUGACCAAGUGCACUACAAAAGCUUUUUGAAUUCUUACAUCAUGGCUCUGAAGGAGACAGACAAAUGUCUGCAUCAUGGUGUCUGCAAA